rnacentral:rRNA from 1 species
AUGCUGGAAUGAACACCAAGUGGGGAAGAGCGACUCUCUGGGUCUGUAAUGACGGUGAGGAGAGAAAGCGUGGGGAGCGAACAGGGAUUAGAUAACCCUGGUAGUCCACGCAGUAAAACGAUGAGUGCUAAGUGUUAGGGGAGUUUCCGCCCCUUAGUGCUGCAGCUAACGCAUUAAGCACUCCGCCUGGGGAGUACGGUCGCAAGACUGAAACUCAAAGGAAUUGACGGGGGCCCGCACAAGCGGUGGAGCAUGUGGUUUAAUUCGAAGCAACGCGAAGAACCUUACCAGGUCUUGACAUCCUCUGACAAUCCUAGAGAUAGGACGUCCCCUUCGGGGGCAGAGUGACAGGUGGUGCAUGGUUGUCGUCAGCUCGUGUCGUGAGAUGUUGGGUUAAGUCCCACAACGAGCGCAACCCUUGAUAUUAGUUGCCAGCAUUCAGUUGGGCACUGUAAGGUGACUGCCGGUGACAAACCGGAGGAAGGUGGGGAUGACGUCAAAUCAUCAUGCCCCUUAUGACCUGGGUUACACACGUGUUCCAAUGGACAGAACAAAGGGCAGCGAAACCGCGAGGUUAAGCCAAUCCCACAAAUCUGUUCUCAGUUCGGAUCGCAGUCUGCAACUAGAUGCGUGAAGCUGGAAUCGCUAGUAAUCGCGGAUCAGCAUGCCGCGGGCAUACGUUCCCUGGCCAUGUACACGCCGCCCGUCACAACAAGAGAGUUGUAACGCCGGAAGUAGGC